GCUGAGGAGGUGGGGCUUGUAGUGAUUGAUGAGUCCAUGACCAUGAGCUGAGGGGGUUGAAUCGGGCCCGUGUGGAGGCCGGGCUUGAUGAAUUGAAGCGGGCGGAAGGCGUCGUUCCUUUCUUAGGCCAUACACGGAGAGGGAGCAGGAGCAGGAGCAGGAGCAAUGCUGUGGCGCUGGUAAACCCAAGCCUUGGAGGAAGUCAGUAUGUUGUCAGUUCGGCGGGCGGUUCAGGAGCUGGGAUUGAGACUCAGAUUUCACCUGUUCCGGGAUAUCGGUCGCCAGUAUCCGGUCUUCUGCUUCAUUAUGUUGUUGCUUACCCUUUCCACCCUGCUGUUUAACAGGUAUUUACAUAUUCUUAUGAUGUUCUGGUCAUUCCUUGCUGGAGUUGUGACUUUCUACUGUUCGCUUGGACCUGACUCACUUUUGCCCAAUAUUCUCUUCCAUACUGAGCGAAAACCAAAGCAACUAGAACAGCAAGAACUCUUUCCCCAAGGUCAUAGCUGUGCUGUCUGUGGAAAAGUCAAAUGCAAAAGACAUAAGGCCACACUGCUGUUGGAAAACUACCAACCAUGGCUGGGUUUGACAAUUAGUUCCAAGGUGGAUGCAUCUCUGUCUGAAAUACUGGAGCUGGUGAUUGAAAACUUUGUUCACCCUUGGUACAGAGACCUGACUGAUGAUGAAGCCUUUAUUGAUGAACUAAGAGUAACUUUGCACUUCUUUGCGGCUGUUCUAGUCCGUCGAGCACAAAAGAUUGAUUUUCCAGUCCUCGUAAACCAGAAGUUGUUAAAAGCGGCAAUGAAGCAUAUUGAAGUCAUUUCAAAAGCAAGGCACAAAGUAAAACAUAGUGAGUAUUUACAACAAGCUGCUUUGGAAGAGUAUGGGCCAGAUCUGCACCUGGCUCUGAGAAGCCGCAGAGAUGAACUCCAAUAUCUUAGGAAAAUAACUGAGUUGCUGUUCCCAUACAUUCUGCCACCGAAAGCCACAGAGUGCCGAUCUCUAGCCUUGCUGAUUCAAGAAAUUCUGGCUGGGUCAGUGUUUCUUCCCUCUUUGGACUUCUUGGCUGAUCCGGACACGGUGAACCAUUUGUUGCUGAUUUUCAUUGAUGAUAGUCCGCCUGAACCAGCGACUGAGCCUCCCUCGCCCUUGGUUCCCUUUCUUCAGAGAUAUGCUGAUGCAAGAAAUAAAGCCCAAUCGGCCCUAAAACUCGAGUUAAAGGAGAUAAGAGAGCAACAAGAUCUGCUGUUCUGGUUCAUGAACUUUCUGAAGCAAGAGGGUGCAGUGCAUGUGUUGCAAUUCUGUUUCACUGUCGAGGAAUUCAACGAUCGGAUCUUAUGUCCAGAGUUGACAGAUGACGAGAUGCAAACACUUCACGAGGAAGUGAAGAAAAUUUAUGUGACAUAUUGUCUCGAUGAAAGUAUUGAUAAAAUCAAAUUUGAUCCAUUUAUUGUGGAAGAGAUACAGCAGGUUGCAGAAGGAUCUUAUAGGAAUGUAGUGAAACUUCAGACCAUGCGCUGUUUGUUCGAGGCAUAUGAACACGUCAUGAACCUACUUGAAACUGUAUUUACACCUAUGUUUUGUCACAGCGAUGAGUAUUUCAGAUAUUUGUUGAAAGGAGCAGAGUCAACAACGCGCAACUCCAAAUCAAAUAGAAGUAGCCUGAAUUUGGAUGAUUUUCGCACGGAACAGGAAUUAAAACGGGGCACUGAAUCUGCAUCUCUAGGGCAAGCUGCCUCCUUGAAUCAAGGGUCUUCAUCUGCAUCUGUUUUUCCUCAUGUGCAGUCAAUCUUAGCACUUCCAUCUGGCAUUUUACCUUCUCUCCCUGCUGCUAUAACGGGCUCCAGCAAACGUGGAGAAUCUUUUGGAAUUAGUCGAAUAGGCAGCAAGCUUAAAGGAGUCUUUAAAAGCACAACGAUGGAAGGGGCUAUGUUGCCUAACUAUGGAUUACCAGCAGGAGAUGAUGAUCUUGUUGAAGAAGCAACAGUUGUGUCUGAGGAUGAUUUAAUUGAAGAAUUGGCAAUCACUCCCAAUGCUUAUCGUAACCUUUCUGCCUGGAAAAUAAGCAUUCCAUAUCUGGAUUUCUAUUUUGACAGUAAAAAGGAGAAAGUCCCAGUGUUCUGUAUUGAAGUAAUUCGAAAUGAAGAAGGGCCAGAAGGACAUGAAAAUGAAAACUGCUUCGUUUACCGAAGAUAUUUUGAAUUUUACGUCCUAGAGUCGAAGCUUACAGAGUUUCAUGGAUCUUUCCCAGAUGCACAGCUUCCUUCAAAGCGGCUCAUUGGAUCCAAGAACUUUGACUUCCUAAAUUCUAAACGAGAAGAGUUUCAGGAAUAUCUGCAGAAUUUGUUGAAACACCCAGAACUAAGCAACAGCCAACUCCUGGCCGACUUUCUAUCCCCAGAUGGCUGUCAAUCACAGUUUCUUGAGAAAAUUCUUCCGGAUGUAAAUCUGGGGAAGAUUAUCAAGUCUGUCCCUGGAAAACUGAUCAAAGAGAAAGGCCAACAUCUAGAGUCAUUCCUCACAGCAUUCAUCAACUCCUGUGAGGCUCCCAAACCAAAACCAAGUAGACCGGAACUCACCAUUCUUAGCCCAACUUCAGAAAACAACAAAAAGCUUUUUAAUGACUUAUAUAAAAAUAAUGCCAAUCGUUCUGAAAGUACAGAGAAGAAGUACAACCAGAACUACUUCAUGGAAAUGAUGACAUUAGAUGGUGUUUAUGAUUAUCUGAUGUACGUGGGGCGUGUUGUUUUUCGCAUGCCAGACUGGUUGCAUCACUUAUUAAUGGGUGGACGGAUUCUCUUUAAGAACACACUUGAAGCAUAUUGUGAUAAUUACCUUGAGUAUAAGCUGAGCCAGUUGUUACAAGAACAUCGAGUGGUUUCUCUUAUAACCCUGCUCCGAGAUUCUGUCUUCUGUGAGAAUAGUGAGGCUCGCUCUCUUGAAGACAAACAAAGGAGGGCAAAACAAACUUUUGAUGAAAUGAUGAACUACAUUCCAGAUUUUUUUGUGAAGUGCGUUGGAGAGGAAGCAAAAUACGAGGGAGUCAGAUUGCUAUUUGAAGGGCUGCAACAGCCAGUCCUCAACAAACAGCUGACGUACGUACUACUGGACUUAGUACUGCAGGAGUUAUUUCCUGAACUCGGUAAGGUCAAACAUUAGCAAAAUCCAAAGAGUUGGAAUCAUUUUAACUUUCAUUUGGGGAACUCCAGCAGCGAUCAAGGCUCAAAGUGCACAACUGUUUUUAGUUGAAAAGCAAAUUACAUAAAUCAUAAUCAAGAUUGAGUGAUACCAAAUUCGGAUUUAACGACUUGAAGAUCGUAAUCGGAGGAGAGAAGUAGAGAAGACGAGGGAUUCCUCAGUUGAGCUUCAGAGAAAAAGAUGCAGAAAGAGGUGGCAUUUGUUUCCACGUGGAAGUGAAGAAUACUGCUACCAAUUUUCCAUUUUGAGAUCCUCUUUUAUUUUAGGAGAUGGAGUGCAAUAGAACCAUGCUGUAUCUAUUUGGCAGAAUUAUGUGUAUGAAAUACUGAAUGUUUUUAGUGAAACUUGUGUAAGUAAAUGUGAAUAUUAAUUUUAUGAAAUUCAUGUGAAUGUGAACAUUUAAUUUAAACCUACGUGUGUUACACUAUGCUAAUAAAGAAUAUUGUAUCAUUGUGUUGUGGAAA